UAAGCUCAAUUUCAUUGUUUACUUUACUUCGUCUUUAAUUUCCUUCUCUUCGCCGCCCAAUUAUCGCCGGGAAACUAAGUUCCGGAAACGAGGAGGAGCUAGCCACUCAUGAUCUUCGCGUGAAUUCCCAUGACAUUAUGUCCUCGUUCCGUUGCUUAAUUCGGGAAGUUCAACUGCAUCUGAAAAAGGAAAAAAGAAGCGACUCUAAUUAGCCGAGUUUUGAAGUUAUUCCAUGCAUUGUCUGCAAAUUAGAUGAAAAUAAUAGUAUAUUAUAAUCAACGUUAAGAGUCUCGUGUCGUGUCUUGAUUAAACCGUAUUAAUUUUUCAUUUUUGACAAAGAUGUGAAUUUCUGUGUUAAUUGCGUUCGCUGAUCUCAUCGAAAAACAAAAGAAUCAACGAGAGUUUGAAGAGCGGCCGUGGUAACGGUGGAAGCGGCUUUUUUGAAGGCUGAGAAACAUGCCUUUUCCGAUGAAGAUCCAACCGAUCGAUUUCAAAACGCUAGAAGAGGCAGCGGCACCGCGGUCGGAGGCGGUAAAGCAGCCGGCCGUGAAAUCACGGUUCAAGCGUCUGUUUGAGCGGCCGUUCCCUAGCGUUCUAAGAAAUUACUCGACAGAGAAGAUCGGUGCCGUCGCAGUCAUCGCCGAUGAGCUUCCUUUCAGCAAAGAAUGCUCUGCUGAGUUCGAGCCGAGCUCCGUUUGCUUGGCGAAAAUGGUUCAGAAUUUCAUUGAAGAACAUAACGAGAAACAACAAUCUUGUGCGGUUAGGUGUAGUGGCCGUAACCGCUGUAACUGCUUCAGCAAUCGUAGCUGCAGCGACAGCUCCGAUGACGAAAUGGACGGUUUCUUUGGUGACUCCAAUCUUAAUUUUUCCGCUGAAGCGUCUGAAAUCCUAAAGAGUUUGGUUUCUCCUAUGACUGUGAAUGAAAAAAAGGUAUUGGCGGAUACAGCGAAGAUCAUGGAAAAGAACAAGAACUGUAAGAGCAAAGAUGAAGUUUGCAGGAAAAUUGUUACUGAUGGAUUAUUGACCCUUGGAUACGAUGCUUCUAUCUGCAAAUCUUUCUGGGGAAAAUCUCCCUCUUUUCCCGCCGCAGGGGAGUAUGAAUACAUAGAUGUGCUAAUUGAGGGUGAACGUUUAUUGAUCGACAUGGAUUUCAGAUCAGAAUUCGAACUCGCCAGAACAACGAAGACUUACAAGUCAAUACUCCAAACGCUUCCCCACAUCUUUGUCGGCAAAGCCAAUCGUCUCCAGAAGAUAAUUGCUAUUGUUUCUGAGGCAGUAAAGCAAUGCCUGAAGAAAAAAGGAAUGCAUAUUCCUCCAUGGCGAAAAGCUGAGUAUAUCAAGGCCAAAUGGCUUUCUCAUUACAAUCGAAUCACACCUUCACCCACAUCUGUAACUGGAACGCUCAUAGAAUUCGGGCUUGAUUCCAAAGCUAAAGACAAAGGCCAAUCAUUGUUUGAAGUGACUCCCGAGGAUAAAAACUCAGUUGGAGAUGCUGAGUUGGGAGAACCCAUAUUUGCUUUGUCUGAGAGCUUUGAAGAAGAUGAAGGGAAGGGUAAAAACACGAAGAACGAAGAAUGGAAGAUUGGGGUUAAGAUGGUGACUGGUUUAGCUUCAGCCAUUGAAGAUGAAAUGAAACAAUAAAUUUUUGACUCUUUCUUUUUCACUUUUGGGUUAUUGGAAAAUCAAAUACAUAGUGGGAUCUUUGAAUUCAUGGAAUCAAAGCAAGAGACAAAAAACAAAGGACUACAUUUUAUAUACCAUGCUCUUGCAGUCUCAGAGCUUUGUGAGGUUAGUCCCGACUCUUGAGCUAUUUUUAAUUGACUGAUUCUGUGAUCUAUAGCAUCCUUUAGUGGAGUAUUUUAUUGAUGGCAUUAAAAGAUUUUGCAGUUAUUUUUAUAUACAAAAAUAUAUGUUUAAAC